rnacentral:rRNA from 1 species
GACGGAGGGUGCUAGCGUUGUUCGGAAUCACUGGGCGUAAAGGGCGCGUAGGCGGCCUUGCAAGUCGGUUGGUGAAAGCCCGGGGCUCAACCCCGGAGGUGCGGCCGAGACUGCAGGGCUGGAGGCCGGAAGAGGAGGGUGGAAUACCCAGUGUAGAGGUGAAAUUCGUAAAUAUUGGGUGGAACACCGGUGGCGAAAGCGGCUCUCUGGUCCGGACCUGACGCUGAGGCGCGAAAGCGUGGGGAGCAAACAGG